rnacentral:pre_miRNA from 1 species
AAAGUACUCCCUCCGUCCCAAAAUUCUUGUCUUAGAUUUGUCUAGAUACGGAUGUAUCAAGUCACAUUUUAGUAUUAGAUACAUCCAUAUCUAGACAAAUCUAAGACAAGAAAUUUGGGACAGAGGGAGUAGUCG